rnacentral:rRNA from 1 species
UGAACGCUGGCGGCGUGCCUAAUACAUGCACGUCGAGCGAACGGACGAGAAGCUUGCUUCUCUGAUGUUAGCGGCGGACGGGUGAGUAACACGUGGAUAACCUACCUAUAAGACUGGGAUAACUUCGGGAAACCGGAGCUAAUACCGGAUAAUAUUUUGAACCGCAUGGUUCAAAAGUGAAAGACGGUCUUGCUGUCGCUUAUAGAUGGAUCCGCGCUGCAUUAGCUAGUUGGUAAGGUAACGGCUUACCAAGGCAACGAUGCAUAGCCGACCUGAGAGGGUGAUCGGCCACACUGGAACUGAGACACGGUCCAGACUCCUACGGGAGGCAGCAGUAGGGAAUCUUCCGCAAUGGGCGAAAGCCUGACGGAGCAACGCCGCGUGAGUGAUGAAGGUCUUCGGAUCGUAAAACUCUGUUAUUAGGGAAGAACAUAUGUGUAAGUAACUGUGCACAUCUUGACGGUACCUAAUCAGAAAGCCACGGCUAACUACGUG